rnacentral:rRNA from 1 species
AACUUCGGGAAACCGGAGCUAAUACCGGAUAAUAUUUUGAACCGCAUGGUUCAAAAGUGAAAGACGGUCUUGCUGUCACUUAUAGAUGGAUCCGCGCUGCAUUAGCUAGUUGGUAAGGUAACGGCUUACCAAGGCAACGAUGCAUAGCCGACCUGAGAGGGUGAUCGGCCACACUGGAACUGAGACACGGUCCAGACUCCUACGGGAGGCAGCAGUAGGGAAUCUUCCGCAAUGGGCGAAAGCCUGACGGAGCAACGCCGCGUGAGUGAUGAAGGUCUUCGGAUCGUAAAACUCUGUUAUUAGGGAAGAACAUAUGUGUAAGUAACUGUGCACAUCUUGACGGUACCUAAUCAGAAAGCCACGGCUAACUACGUGCCAGCAGCCGCGGUAAUACGUAGGUGGCAAGCGUUAUCCGGAAUUAUUGGGCGUAAAGCGCGCGUAGGCGGUUUUUUAAGUCUGAUGUGAAAGCCCACCGCUCAGCCGUGCACGCCCAUUGGAAA